GGAAGGAUCAUUACCAAAUGUCCUGUGCCUCGCUGUGGUAGACCAUUGCCUCUGCCUGGAUUUUGAUGAAAUCAAUCGAAAGGGGUUCUAGCAAGAUUGACACGAUCAUCAUCUACCAGGUGGGCCUCACAUUUGCUCUGCCUGCCCCAUCAGGUUUGAUGUGCAUCACCCGCCAACCCCGAUGGGCGGAGAUGGUGCCUGUGCAAGAGGUGUAGGCUGGUCAGAUGUUGGACCAGCCGGGGACUUUGGUGGGUACUACAUUGCUGAUAAUCAAUCAAACCCAUCCUUGAAUGUAUGUUGGUAGUAGACCGGUGCUCCAAUUACCCCACCAUCGGGGGGUGGAUUGUGGAUGAAAUCAACCAAGAGGGGAAGGAGGGUUGAUCCCAUCGCCUACCCGGCAGUUAGAUGUUGGAUGCUGCUGUGGGAGGGUUGGGGGUAUACAUUUGCAUUGGUGCACUGUGCGUGUUGCAGACCGCCUGCUUUCAGCAGGCCUGGCCCUCAUAGGAAGGAAUGCUGCCUGCCCAGCGGGAUUGACCAAGUUGAUGGUGGUCAUCUUGUCAGGCACCUCUUCUGCACCAUUGAUGGGUGGUGCUAACGAGAGGUUUGGUAGAGCCUUGUAGAAGCUUUUCAGUCCAUGACGACAUCAGGUUCUGCCUCGGUGUCGUUAAGUUCUGCAGGCUUUGGUUGAUAAGGUACUAGCCGGUUGCAUGGGUUUUUAAACACAUGUCAGAUGUCGACUGCCGAUGGGGAGGCGGGACCGACGAGGGAGAGUCGGUUUGAUAUCCGUCACUGGCGGGGCCAUUUAAGAGUGUCUGCUAUGCACUUCAGCCGACACGGCACCUUCUUGUAGUAGACCUUUCCAUAGUCUGCCACCAGAAUUCGAUGCGAAUCUUGGAUGCUGUUGUGGCAGGCCUUUUGGGUCUCCUACGUCUUCUUUUUUCACCACACAAAACUGACAUUGUAUGGUUUGUGCUUGAACGCAUAUAAUAUAACUUUCAACAACGGAUCUCUUGGCUCUCGCAUCGAUGAAGAACGCAGCGAAAUGCGAUAAGUAAUGUGAAUUGCAGAAUUCAGUGAAUCAUCGAAUCUUUGAACGCACCUUGCGCUUCUUGGCAUUCCGAGGAGCAUGCCUGUUUGAGCGUCGUUGAAUUCUCAGAACCCUGCCCAGGAUGUGGAUUGUGGAGGAUGCAAUGCCGUCCCAAUUGGGGGCCUUCUUUGCUUCUCUGAAAUGGAGUGCCGUUACGACUGCAGUCAGUGAACUACCAUCGGAUAAGAUACACAGUAUGGGUGCCAUCUGAUGUUUCUUGGCCGGUCCUCAUUGGGGCGCCCGUUAGCGCGGGUGGGCGGGGGUACCACAUGGGCUUUUUGCUGCCUGCGAUGGGCCCUUGUCGGCCAUUGGUUUCAGGAAGUCAGGUGGGGACUACCUGAGGUGGCAACCAUUGGCUGCAUGCUGGCGGAGGGCAGGUGUGUCCUUCAUGGAUUUGGAGUAUGCAUUGUUGACUGCUUCUCCAAAGGCAUUGCCGUAACGUUGGGGCUGCGGUCAUGAUGAACCUGGCGCCGGUAUGAUACACUCUUCUUACCUGCGUCUUGUCCGUGCGAGCCGCGUCCAACAUUUGACCUCAAAUCAGGCAGGACUACCCGCUGAACUUAAGCAUAUCAAUAAGCGGAGGAAAAGAAACUAACAAGGAUUCCCCUAGUAACUGCGAGUGAAGCGGGAAGAGCUCAAAUUUAAAAUCUGGCGGCCUGUGGCCGUCCGAGUUGUAAGCUAGAGAAGCGCCGUCCGCGCUGGGGCCAUGUACAAGUCUCCUGGAACGGAGCGUCGUGGAGGGUGAGAACCCCGUCUGUGACAUGGACCUCCCAGGGCACCGCGAUCGCGCCCUCAAAGAGUCGAGUUGUUUGGGAAUGCAGCUCCAAAUGGGUGGUAAACUCCAUCUAAAGCUAAACAUUGGCGAGAGACCGAUAGCGAACAAGUACCGUGAGGGAAAGAUGAAAAGAACUUUGGAAAGAGAGUUAAACAGUACGUGAAAUUGUUGAAAGGGAAACGCUUGAAGUCAGUCGCGUCGGCCUGGGAUCAGCCCCGCAAGCGUGAGGCGCACUCCCUGGUCGACGGGUCAGCACCAGUCUCGACCGUUGGAGAAGGGUCGGGGGAAUGUGGCAUCCUCGGAUGUGCUUAUAGCCCCCGAUCGCAUGCAUCGGUCGGGAUUGAGGAACUCGGCGCGCCGCAAGGCCGGGUCUCAGACCACGUCCGCGCCCAGGAUGCUGGCACAAUGGCUUUAAUCGACCCGUCUUGAAACACGGACCAAGGAGUCUAACAUGCCUGCGAGUGUUUGGGUGGAAAACCCAUGCGCGCAAUGAAGGUGAAGGUUGAGAUCCCCCUCGUGGGGAGCAUCGACGCCCGGACCAGACCUGCUGCGACGGAUCCGCGGUGGAGCAUGCAUGUUGGGACCCGAAAGAUGGUGAACUAUGCCUGAAUAGGGCGAAGCCAGAGGAAACUCUGGUGGAGGCUCGUAGCGAUUCUUACGUGCAAAUCGAUCGUCGAAUUUGGGUAUAGGGCGAAAGACUAAUCGAACCAUCUAGUAGCUGGUUCCUGC
rnacentral:misc_RNA from 1 species